AUCACCAUUCCCAUGAUGAUCCUAUGAUUAGGAGCAAUUUAAGAAUUAACCAUCAAUGACACAUGUCUCAAAUUCUCAACUUUUUAAGAAUAUAUGUCAUCAUCUUGUUAAUCCUUUGGAUGAUUCAUGGACACAUAAACAUGAAUGGUAAUAAAACAGUUCAAUAAGUACAAAAUCAUAUCCUAAAGAUAUAAAAUGUUUCAGUCA
rnacentral:lncRNA from 1 species